rnacentral:rRNA from 1 species
AACGCGAAGAACCUUACCAGGUCUUGACAUCCCGAUGACCGCUUCAGAGAUGGAGCUUCUCUUCGGAGCAUUGGAGACAGGUGGUGCAUGGUUGUCGUCAGCUCGUGUCGUGAGAUGUUGGGUUAAGUCCCGCAACGAGCGCAACCCUCGUUUGAUGUUGCCAGCGGGUUAUGCCGGGGACUCAUCAAAGACUGCCGGGGUCAACUCGGAGGAAGGUGGGGACGACGUCAAGUCAUCAUGCCCCUUAUGACCUGGGCUACACACGUACUACAAUGGUCGGUACAACGGGCAGCGAAGGAGCGAUCUGGAGCGAAUCCUUAAAAGCCGAUCUCAGUUCGGAUUGCAGGCUGCAACUCGCCUGCAUGAAGUCGGAAUUGCUAGUAAUCGCGGAUCAGCAUGCCGCGGUGAAUACGUUCCCGGGUCUUGUACACACCG